UGAAAACAAAAAAAAACAAAUAUCACUCUUCUUGUCUUCUAAUUCUCAAAAUCUAUUUUCGUUUUGAUUCUUUGAAACAAGUGCUUCGUUUUUACCGUUCAUUCUGAACACAAUCGUCGCCUCCGUGCUUACAGUAACAACACCAAUAUUGAUUUCUAGUUGAUUAGAUCGAUGAUGGUGUGUUGUGAGAGUCGAAUUCAUAAAACUAUCAUCGUUCAAGGUAGAGACCAUGUGCCAACGUCUAUGAAGAAGACGAAGAAGAAGAAGAAGAAGAAGAAAGCCCCUAGGAUAAAGCGUCGAUAGAACUCAGUAGCUCCAACGCAAAGCAAGCCUCAGGUCUGAGCGAUGAGUACUAAAUUGCAGGUCUGAGCGAUGAGUAAAGAAUCCUUCAAAAAGAAGAAGAAUCCUUCAAAAAGAAGAAGAACCCUUCAAGGUUUUGUUUCAAAUUGUUUAAAGUCAACAACUUUUUGUAAUAAUUCUUAUUAUUGCAGGAUAUAGGACAAAGCAAGCCUCAAGAUAUAACCAGUAACUAGUCUGAGCGAUGAGUACUAGAAAUUCUUCGUGGGUGAUAGCUACAAGCUGGUGAUAGCCAAGACUUGACUGAUAAAGAGACUUUCCUUUUGUGUGCAUUGAAUGGUAAUCUCGGGGAUGCAGACGCCUGAGCAUAUAGAAAACAAGAAGAACAUCCCUUAACCAUACCACCACUGCAGUGGUCCUUAAAGCAGCAAAUUACAAAGAUAGCUCAAGCCAAGAUCAGCCUUCAGAAAAAUGUGUAAAGAUUGCCUCAUUGCAGGGUAACGAGUGUUAAAUUCAAGCCAUCAGGAAGCAAAAACUAGAUGGUGGAAAAUCAAGACAGGGAAAUGAGUGUUACGAACAUUGCUAGCUACUAGCUCUACCAAUCUGAUACACUGAAUAUGUAGCCAAUCACAGGUAAUCUCAGGAAUGUGAAUGUCGGAGAAGAUAUAAAGCAAGGAGAACACAAACCAGCUCUGCAGUUUUCUCAGGGAGAAAAGUGGGUGAACCUUAAGAAAAAGCAUCAAACUGCUAGAAAGAUAGCUAGUAUUCUGAGGAAGUCAUUCUGCAUGCAGGCCAAUAUAAACCAGUCCCAGUUGUCUAAACCAGAAUGAAGUCAUCAGCAAAAUGUGAAAAGCCUCAUUACAGGGAAACAAGUGUUAAAAACGUCGCUAGCCGAAACUAACUAGUUUGGAAAGUCAAGCCAGCGAAAACCAAGACAGAUUCUCAAUCCAAAACCAGCAACGCUGCUGCUCCACAGGAAAAAAACGAGAUUUUGACAGCACCAGCUUUGCCUGCACCACAUCUGCUAGAAUUUCCAGGAAUUUCAUCUUCAAACAAUGGCACGCAUAAACAUCUUCACUAGCUUCAACUUAAGUCUCUAAUAAGAAAAAUGAUUGGCUAAUCUCUGAAAGCGUCAACUGAUAUACUCUAAUUUUUGUGCCGUUGCUUCUUCUUAAGUAUCACAUUUAUAAAAAAAAGUUUGUUUUGUGUGGCUGAAAUUCGUUUGACAUUUGAUUCUGAUUCGUUUAGGAUUAGAAGCUGCUCAAUGUGUUGACGUUUCUCUCUUCUUGUUUCUAUUUAUGCAGGAUAGUUUGUUUAGGGUUGGUAGUUUAAUCGAACCCGUUUUCAGUUUUACAGAACCUGUGGUAAUUCCCAUUUUUACUCUCUCUUUGACUUUCAUUUCAGUGCUCGUUUUACCUUUUGCAUUGCAGCUUCAAGCUUAUUUUCUCGUGCUUGAUGACAUCAUGGACAACUCUGUCACACACUGUGGUCAACCUGUUGGUUCAGAGAGCCAGAGCUUGGUAUGAUUGCUAUUAACAGUGGGAUUCUACUUGGCAAUCAUAUUCACUGGAUUCUCAAAAAACACUUCAGGGGAAUACCUUAGUAUGUUGAUUUUUGAGGAAUUUAAACUUGGUAAGGGUAAACCAGCUUCAACGUAAGUCUCUAAGCAGAAUAAUGAUUGGAGGCAAAGAGCCUUAAUGAACCAAAGAGCCAUGUUUUCCUGAUUGCAGCCUUCUAGCCAAGAAAGAAAUAGUUCACAACUAAACCAGUCACUGUUGACUCAAGAAAAAGGCAGUAAUCAGAGAAGUGUUAAAAAGGGAAACGAGUGGUAAUAACGUUAGCUCGUAUCCAGAAAAAUCAACACAUCAAAAGGCAAAGGCUGGAUGAUGGACCAUAUCUCAUUGUAUGACUGAAAUUUUUUUCCGCAUCAUCAUUGUUUUAUGUACUAAAGAUCAUCUUCAUGCUCAUGCAGCCUAUUGGAAGUUUUCCUAGAAUAGUGAACGAAGGUGUCUAUACCGAAGCAGUAAAUAACUUGAGGAAAAAAUGUUGGCAAAGAUUACCAAGUUAUUAGCUCGAAAUAUGAACAAGAAGACCAUUGAUGGAGAAUUAGGGAUGAUGAUGAUCCCUGCACUGGAAAAAUAAAAUCAUCUUCUUCACCAAUGCAUUACCUUCACCUGUGAUGUUGCCUCUCUUUGCAGAUGCUUGACUACAAUAUAGGCGGCGGUGUGAGGAGCCUGUCUCAGACAUUUCAUCCAAAAUUAAUCAACUCAUAUCAAAGAUUUGUUUGUUCUUUCUUGUGCUGUAGGGAACACAGUUGUGGUAUCUCCGUGGUUGAUAGCUACAAGCUCUUGAAAGAAGCCAAGACUUGACCGAUGCUGAUACUUUCCUUUUGUGUGCUCUCAGCUUCAAGGUGAUUUUCUCGUGCUUGAUGACAUCAUGGACAACUCUGUCACACGCUAUGGUCAGCCUUGUGGGUUGGGUUCAGACAGCCAAAGGUUGGUAUCUUAUUGCUAUUAACAAUGGGAUUCUACUUGGCAAUCAGAUCCACAGGAUUCUCAAAAACCACUUCAGGGGAAUGCCUUGCUACAUUGACCUUGUUGAUUUGUUUAAUGAGGUAUGCAGGUUAGCUAAACUGCAAGGAUCUCAUAUCUUUGUGAAAUGGUAUUGUAGUUAAGUGAGGUCACGAGGUGCUAUUGUAAUUCUUCUUUUUCUUCUUGUUCAUUCAACAAUAAUCUCGGGGAUGCGGACGCCUGAGCAGAUAGAAAACAAGGAGAACAUCUUUUACCCAUCCCACCACUCCAGUAGACUUUAAAGCAGCAAAUUGCUAGAAAGAUAGCUCAAGCCAAAAUCAUCCUUCAGAAAAAUGUGAAAAGGGAACGAGUGUUAAAGUCAAGCCAUCAGAAAGCAAAAACUAGAUGGUGGAAAAUCAAGACUGGUUGGAGGCAGAUUGUUACAAAACCAGCAUGAUCCAUAUCUCAUAUCUCAUACUUCGUUUGAAUUCACCCACGACUCCGUCAAUUGCUUGAACAAAUGCUUGACUACAACGUAUUUGGUGGUGAAAGGAGCCGGUCUCAGACAUUUCAUCCAAACUUAACCAACUCAGAUUGAAAACUUUUGUGUUCUGUGUUGUUCUGUAAGGAAGCUCAAUCGUGGUCUCUCCGUGGUUGAUAGCUACAUGCUACAUGCUACAUGCCAAGAUUUGACCAAUAAAGAUACUUCCCUUUCUUGUGCUCUCAGGUGGUUCAUUGAAUGGCUUCAAGCUUAUUUUCUCGUAUUUGAUGACAUCAUGGACAACUCUGUCACACCCCGUGGUCAGCCUUGCUGGUCUCACGUUCCUCUUCUUAUAGUUCUUUAAUGUAUCUAUGCCUUUCACUACAGGGAAACGAGUGGUACAAACGUUAGCUCUUAUCCAGGAAAAUCAACACAUUAAAUGGCAAAGGCUGGCUGAUGGAAAACUAAGACAGGUGACCCAAUUUUUAUCUCAUUGUAUGACUGAAACGUUUUUCCUCCUCAUCAUUGAUUUAUGUCCCAAAGAUGGAAAAAUCCUCUUCACGCUCUCCUAUUGGAAGUUAUCUCAGAAUUGUGAACAAAGAAGGUGUCUAUACCGAAGCCGUAAAUAACUUGAGGAAGAGAUGUUGGCAAAGAUUCCCAAGUUAUAAGGUAGAACUAUGAUCAAGAAGAUUUGGGCAGCUCUAGCUUUGUCUGCAUUGCACCAUCAAAGAAGUACACCACCUCUGCCACAUUUUCAGCCCUGUGAUCCAAACAAUGCUAAGAGCUCUUCCUACUAAAUAAAAAACUACUGCAAAACGUAAGCAAGAGGAACUCGAGAAUGUAACAAAUUUCAAAGCAAAACCUUUGAACUAAAAAGGUGGAUUCAUCGGAGUGAUAUGUUAAGAAUUGGGUACCAAAGGAUUGAUUUUAUAUUUUAGUUUCGUCGAUUUGAGAUUGAUAAAAAGUUUGCUUGGAUUUUGAGGAAUGGCAAAAGAGGAAUAAAAAAAAGUGUGGGAAGAAAUGCAGAAGCUGAGGAUCAUGAGGAACAGCUCAAAAAACUACAAGAAAUUGAUGUAGAUGGAAUAACACUGGAUCAGAAGAGGAACCAGAUGAACUGCAACUAUAUUUUGCUAAUCACAGUCUUCUAAGACCAAGAAAUAAGAAGAUCAUUGACAUUCCAAUUCUCUUGUGAAGUAGAAGAUCAUUGACAUUCCAAUUCUCCUGUGAAGUAGAAGAUCAAUCCCAUGCCGUCAACAAAUAUGACAGUAUUUGUUCAGCUAUUUGAAGAGACCAGGAUGAUUCCAGUGGUUGUUAAGGCAUUGGAUACAGUUAAAGUACUGAGGAUAGAGCUGGUAAAGAUGCAAAAGAAGGGUGAGUUAGAUAUAUGCCUUGCCAAGGUUAUUUCUUUGUUUACAAAAAGUCACCAUUGAGCGAGACUAAUUCAUUCUUGUGGCACCGUAUUUCUGACGGCGAUAUAUGGGACGGACCAAUAUGUUUUUCGACAAAACGCUGCGUUUCAAAGCAUUUCGACAUUUUUUUACACAGAAAAAAUGUUAAAUUUAUACCGUUGGAUCAUUUUAGUAAA